rnacentral:lncRNA from 1 species
GUUGAGCUCUAGGGUUGAUGUCACCAACUUUCUUCCCCUCAGAAAAUUGUUGACUAGGAAGUUUUAUUAUUGAAUGAGAGAGCAGUGCAUACCAUCAAAGUGGCACUAAGGUAAAAUAUACGAAGCCCAAUAUACCCAUCAUGACUACCCAUCUGAUAAGGGUACACCAGGCAUCACAACCAUAUGUGCACAUGGUGAUCUGAUAUCAAGAUAAACAGUACAUGACCUUGCAGGUGGGACCCAGUUAGAAUUUUCUUCCGGUCAAGUAGCCCAUCUCGCUCAAAAGGUCCCUGAAUAAGGGUUGAUUAAGGAUGUUGAACGAAACUCCCAUGUUUCCAGAGGUGAAUUAUCCAAACCCCCCAAGUUCCUCUCAGCACAUGGCUCUGAUGCCCCCACAUUGUUUCAGCUCAUGAUCAGAGGUGCACAUAUCAUCAGCCAUUAAGGGACAUGCUCAACUGGCUAAAGUCAAACAACUGACAAGCAAAUCUGUGGUAUUGAAUAGAAUAUUUGCUGUAGCCCAAGACAAAACAAUGUAUAUGAUAACACUUCUGAUCGGUUAAGAUCAAAAGCCAUGAGAGCCACAACUUGGUAUUGCAUCAGGGCAUUUAUUAUUUGAUGCUAACUCUCAGCUUAUUUUGCUGGGUGUGAUGGAAAGUGUCAGCUGUCCACAGCCAGCAGUCUAAGGUGACAUUUGUUUACUGGUCAUGCUUCAAGAACCCUGCAAGCAAUUCUUGCAGUUACAAGCAAUGCUGAUUUUUAUAGGUAUUCUACCUUCACACUUGCACCGAUCUUUUUCAGCCAUGUUGGUAGUUGAGUGCUGAUAAUUCCAAGUGCACCAAUUACUAUUCGUAUCACGUCUAUAUUUUUCAUUGACCACAAUCUUCGUUCUCAUCAUUAUCAUCAUUAAUACAAUCAUUAUUAUUAUCAUUAUUUUCAUUAGCAUCUUUUUUCAGUACUAUUUCCAUUUCUUGCCAAGUGUCUUCCUGACACCUAGGGCAGAGAAAUGUACUGUAUACAUUGGUAGGCCAUUAAAACAAACACAUUAGAUUGUUCAUUUGCAAAGUCAUGUGAUAGGGAAAAAGGGGAAUUAUUAUCAUUAUUAUUAUUAUUAUUAUUAUUAUUAUGUCUACAGAUUGACAGAAUCUUUGCAGUAUUGGGGGAAAAAGCAUUGCAAUAAUUCGUUGUCCUCUUUUACAAUCUAAGUUCAAAUGUUCCUUAUGGUAUUGAGUUACAUCCAUUUACAUGCCAAGUUCAAAUUUCCUUUACACAUAACUUUGUCUUUUGUUCCUGGAGAUCAAAAUAAAUAAACAGAUAAAUGAAUAAAAUAUGUACCAGUAAUAUACUAAAUUUGAUUUGGCUGGGUGGGGCAAGAAACCAGGAUUCAAGUGUUGCACCUAACCAGGUCUAAGAUUUUAUAACAAAAUGGACUUAGUGAAAGAUACACAAAAAAUUAGCUGAAGGUGUUAAGCAAGGUGACAGAUUAAGUCUUUUUCUUUAUGAAGCUGAAAUUACAUGGAAAAAUACAAGCCAAGGCAGCCAAAAGAAAGCUAGAUAUCACUAAAAAUGAGAUCGUAGGAUUAUCCCAGUGUAAAGUCUUUCAAUGUUAGGCUGUUGUUUGUUUAAAAAAACAUAGAGAGAUAUAAUUCUCUCCUAUAAAAAAAGAUAAUUACGUUUUUUGUUUGACACUGUGCUGUAUUUUCUUUUUCUUUGUUUGCAUGAAGAGAACUUUGCAAUUAGAAGUGUUUAUCACCUCAAAGAUAAAAGAUAUCAGACUGGAGGAAAAUGAACAACAAAAACAAAAAAAAAAGCAAACAAAAAAACAAAUGCAAUAUCAUCAUACUAAGAUAAACAGACAAAAGAAAACAUUUUUUUCAAUUAUUCACAGAAUUCACAUUAUAUUAGUCUGUUCUUAUUAGUUUUUUACGUAAUUGUAAAAUUCUGAGAGAUUAAGAUUGUGCAAAAUUGUAGAAAAAGUGUUGAAGCUGGAAAAAAAAUCAGGGCAAAAAAUUGCCUAGCAUAUGUAUAUAUAUUAUAUACAUAUAUUUAUAAAUAAUAUACAAUAUGGCUUAUAAAUAAUAUACCACAUAUAGUAUAUAUAUAUAUAUCAUAUAUAAUGUACUUUUGUAUUGCUUUUUCUAUACAUACAUACAUAUAUAUUUAGUCCUUUUAUGUACAUUAUCUCUACAAAUAUAAUGGAUGUUAUAUAUAAUAAAUUAUAUAUAUAUAUAUAUAUAUAUAUAUAUACAUACAUACAAACAUAUAUGUAAAAUGUGUGAGAUAUAUUUAUAUAUAUAUAUUUAUUUAUAUAUAUAUAUAUAUUUAUAUAUAUACAUACAUAUAUGUAAAAUGUAUAAGAUAUAUGAUUAUAUAUAUACAUAUAUAUAUACACAAUGUGUGUAUAAGUGAACUAUCUCAAAUCUUUCUAUUUAUCAGUGAAAACUUUACAACAUUCUUUGUAAUUCAUUAUAUAUACAUUUGCGACAUACUCAAUGUAUGUGUUAAUUUUACAAAAAUACACCCAAAAUUGUUGCACAUAUAAAAAUGAAGCAGAUUUUUUUUCCAUGUAUGGUUAUAUAUAUAAUAUACAGAGUGGUCCAAUAGUCUGAAUCCAUAAAAAUUUCUUUUUAUAUACAUUUUUCUUAUGUAACAAUCAUGGUUUAGCCAGAACUAUUCUGUGAAAGUAUAACCAGUCUGUAUGUUUUUGACAAUAAUGUUACCAGAGAAGCAUACAUCAAUAUAUUACAAUCUUUUUUUUUAAAAAGAGAAUUGGAUGACAUUUCUGUUAGAAUAGUGUAAAAUAUUUUUACAACGUGAUACCCAAGUACAUUCUUUUUUUUCAAUUUGGUUGAGGAAUUAUUUAUAUGAAACUUUUUCAAAAACAUAGAUUGUGAAAAAAAAAUCUUGUUGAAUGACCAAUUUGAUUUUCCAGACAUGAUGGCAUAUGUGUGAGUGUGGGUCAUCAGUAAUCUAUAUGAAUCAAUCUGAAACAAUCAAUGUAUUAAAGAAAGCAAUCAUACUGACGUGUGAUAGUGCUACAGAUAUUCCCGAGUGAGAAUUCAAAAUUCUUGAAGUGAAAUCAAUGAAAUCAAAUAGGAUAUGUGUUGAAGGCCACCAGUUUGAACAAAUUUUUGACAUUUAAAUAAAGUUGUCUUUCCACAGAGCCAACAUUUUCAGAUAUCUUUGUUUGUUUUUUUUAAAUAUAUAAUUGUAUUACAUUUGAUUGAUUCUAGUUUCAGCUCACGAGCUGUGGCCAUGCUGGGGCACCACCAUUUGCAUGCAUAUAUAUAUAUAUAUGUGUGUGAGUGUAAAUAUGUAUGUAUGUAUGUAUAUAACGGGAAGCUUUAUGAAAAUAAAGAAAAGACGAAGGCAGGUGGAAUACAAACAAACGAUUGUAUUAGUAUGGCGCUCAGGAAUAUAAAUAAAACAAGUCUUUUACGUUUCGAGCCUACGCUCUUCAACAGAAAGAUACACAGAAAAGAAACACAGAAAGAAACCAGGAGAGAAAAAAAAUGCGUGCAGAGGCUAGCGAAUCAACAUAUAUAUGUAUAUAUAUGUAUGUGUG